GGUUUGGUCAGGACUGGACUCAGCACUGGCACAGAGGCAGCACAGCUAUGUGGGAAGAACACAGGCUGGUCUGCAGGUGUCUAGAUUUGGAUCCUAGCUCUGUUACUUACUACUUUGUGACUUUGAGCAAAUUCACGUCUCUGAAAGACCAGGACCAGAGACCAUGCUGGGAAGCCUGGCUGCUCUUUGAGGACUGAGAUGAACUUAGCAAUGCAGAGAAGAACAAAGAGAGGCUUGUGCUCACCGUGUUCCAGAGGGAUCACCGUGUUCCCUUUGUUCAUUUGAGGACAUGAAUACAACUAUGGUCUUUGGACAAAAGGCAUAUGCCAGGCAGUAUGAAUGGUCUCUCUUGUCUGUGCAAUUAGUAUGUAAGAGCACGUGAACUGGUGCCUGGGACCUCUACCUGUUUUAGUAUGAUAGCACCACAGUAAAGGGCCUGGACUUUGUAUGAGCUUGGGAAAAUCAUGUCACCUCUGCAAGUCUUGGUUUCCCUGGGUGUUAAAUGUCAAUUUAAGUAAAAUGCUAUCUACUUUGUUUUGGAGACUUUCUAUGAGAAUCUGAUAAACUAUAACCUGUGAAAGAGUUUCAAAAGUUGUAAAAGAUUGAAGGGAAACUGAGAUUCAGUGAGACAAGGACAUUUGUUCAAAUAAAUCUCGUAACUCUGAAGAGGCCUGGAUCUGAGAAGAAUGGGUGCCAGGUAGUCUGACUGGGCUAGUUUUGCCCCAUCAUGGCCCUGUGACAUCCGUUCUGCCUCCCAGCUAGACUGGACUCCCCCAGACCAGGAACUGUGUCCUGGCUCUUCCUAGCACCCAGCUCAGGGAGGGCUAUCAAGGCUGCUGAAAGCAGCUCAGUGAAUGUCAGUCUCUGAGCAGAUGGGAAGAACUGAGGAUGAAUUUGUCCACUUAAAUGGGAAUGGAAGCUUAAGAAUCAAGAUAUUUGAAGAUAAGGGAAACUGAGGUACAGAGGAGGGGAAGAGCCAUGAUUGACUUCAUGCAACUCAUCAGGGAGGGCACCCAGAUUUACACGUGGAUCUGUGUCACUACAAAGCAGUGCCCUUGACUUAACACUCCAUCACUUUCCAUACAAGCUUCAAACUGAACUCCACCUUCAUUAGCUUGGUGAGCGCAGACCGCUGAACUCUUCUAACAUCUGUCUUAGAGGUUAUGUGUUGGCUGCUGCGUUCAGAGCUAUCCUAAAAGUAACUGAAACAAGGGAUUUUUGACUCCAUGGCUAAACAGUUUCUGGGGAGCAGACCUUGAUUCUACCAUUACUUAGAAAACAAAUCAAAUUAGAGUCAGACUAGUGAUGUUGUCAGAACUUUUCAAACAUAAAGACCCAUGAAUGGACAUGUACACUUGGGAUCAAAAGCACUCUCCUCUUCCAAACAGCAGUCUACACUUGGCCUUUUGAGAGGCUGAGCUAUUGCCAAGGACUAUUUAGAUGGAAGAUUUGAUUGUUGGUCAAGGAGACACUGAAGAAGAGAUAAGAUGGUGUACUGGAAUGGAAGGAAGGCUCUGGACAUCAGAACUUUGGGCCACUGUACUGCUGUGUAAAUUUGCGAAACCUACUUAAUCCUUAUGGACUGUUUCCUCAUCUGGAAAAUGAGUUAAAUGAGAUCCAUUUUAUAAAAUUGUUGUAAUGAUUAUAUAAGUAAACACAUAGUAAUAUUAUUUGAUUUUAUUAUUAUUAUUAUGACUUGUCACUCAAAGCAUUUAGCUUUGGUGUCUCUAAUAUUCAGUACUCACAUUUAUGUUCAAAUUUGGAUGCUAGGUAGAAAUGAAGACUUUGUAUCUGCCACCAGAGAAGGCUAUUUAUUAUUUGUCAUUGCCUGUCACGAACUCACAAAGAUAGUAUUUGCCUAUCCAAAGGUAUCUAAUUCCUCAGUUUCUUAUGUGACUAUAAAGGGGCCUACUUUGAUCUUACCAUGAACUCAAAUCCUUUCGAAAUUUCAAUUUGUC
rnacentral:lncRNA from 1 species